UGAAAAUGGUUAAUGUUAGCCCUUUAUGCCAGUAAUGGCAUAAAUGCACCCCCUGAAUUGCCGGAAACCCCUAAAGCUGUUCUCACCACAACAUAACUAGAAAUAGUCAGUGUGACGGUUUAAAAAGAGAACAGAUGGAACAAUGGGCGAUCGGCAGCCGAGGUUCUGUAAAAUGAAUCGGGUUCAACGACUAUUCCGUCAGGAAGUACACUCAAGCGAGUGGAAGUAGGGGGCAUCCAGCCUAUAAUAUCUAGAGUUGGAUGAAGAUAUAGUCUGGUCUUACAUGAAAGUGUAAG
rnacentral:ncRNA from 1 species